AACGCACCUUGCGCUCCUUGGUAUUCCUCGGAGCAUGCCUGUUUGAGUAUCAUGAAAUCCUCAAAAUAAAUCUUUUGUUCGUUCGAUCGAUUUUAUUUUGGACUUGGAGGUCUGCAGAUUCACGUCUGCUCCUCUUAAAUUCAUUAGCUGGAUCUCCGUGAACUCGGUUCCACUCGGCGUGAUAAGUAUCACUCGCUGAGGACACUGUAAAAAGGUGGCCGGGGUUGUGGAAAGAACCGCUUCCAAUAGUCCAUUGACUUGGACAAUAUAUUAUUUAUGAUCUGAUCUCAAAUCAGGUAGGACUACCCGCUGAACUUAA
rnacentral:misc_RNA from 1 species